GGAAGGCAGUUCUGUGUUGACAUGUUUAAAUGGAGGCUCGGCUUUCAAGGCAAGGCAUGAAGCGAAAUACGGACAAUUAUCGGAGAAAGAGACAGUCCGACAGAUAGGCAGGCUUCUGGGAUAGCAGCACGCUUAGAGGCCCAGCCUAUUUCCGCAGGAAAAUGCAGGAAACCUGCUCUUCACAUCUGAAAGAUGUAUGUAAAUUCCUGGCUGAUAUAUCAUCAAGAGACAGUCUGUAAUUCUGACAUCAGCUGUGCUUUUUUGCACGCCUGGGACAGUCUGUAUGACGAACUGCUAUGCUAGCAAAAUGCAAUCCUCUACUUCCUUUCACCCAGGUACAUUCCCCCACCCCCCUUGAAGCAUUCAUCAAAGAUGAAUUGUAGUGGCUGAAUGUGAGUCUCGAGCCAGGAAGUCCUUGACUUCAAAUGUCUCAUCUACCAUGAACUCAUUAAGCUGCAGCCUGGUCAAGUGGCUGUGUCACCUGGUUGUUCAGCUUUGAUGGGUAGCUGCUGAGCUGAUGCUGGAAGUUUAACAAACUGAAGGGCAUUAUCCUCUUCUUCUUUUUAAAAAAAUUAUUUUAUUUACAUCUCGCCUUUCUCCCAAUGCAGGACCCAAGGCGUCUGACAGGAGAAAUUGAAACAGAUACAAGAAAAAGCACACUGUAUGGAUAUUUAAAAGCAAUUCAGUGAGUGAUUCUAUUAAAAACAAGGAU